GACGAACGCUGGCGGCGUGCUUAACACAUGCAAGUCGAACGGAAAGGCCCUGCUUGCAGGGUGCUCGAGUGGCGAACGGGUGAGUAACACGUGGGUGAUCUGCCCCUUACUUUGGGAUAAGCCUGGGAAACUGGGUCUAAUACUGGAUAGGACCAUGCUGUAGGUGGUGUGGUGGAAAGAUUAGUUUCGGUAAGGGAUGAGCUCGCGGCCUAUCAGCUUGUUGGUGGGGUAAUGGCCUACCAAGGCGUCGACGGGUAGCCGGCCGGAGAGGGUGGACGGCCACAUUGGGACUGAGAUACGGCCCAGACUCCUACGGGAGGCAGCAGUGGGGAAUAUUGCACAAUGGGCGCAAGCCGGAUGCAGCGACGCCGCGGGGGGGAUGACGGCCUUCGGGUUGUAAACUCCUUUCAGCCAUGACGAAGCCCUUGUGGUGACGGUAGUGGCAGAAGAAGCACCGGCUAACUACGUG
rnacentral:rRNA from 1 species